rnacentral:lncRNA from 1 species
GCACUUGAGCUCCACCCGCCGCUUGCGCUCGUGGUCCAGGAUCUCGCGGUGCGCGCGCUUCACCAGGCCCGGCUCCGCGGCGCGCAGCUCCUCUUCCGCCCGCGGCCAGGUCCCCGAGGAGGAGCUGGGCUGCGGGAAGCCGUUCGCGGCGUCGGGUGUGGACUGCAUGCUGGCCGCCCCGUUGUUCACGGUGGAGGACAUCGUGGCUGGCCCUGGAGCCGCUGGCCUGGGCCGCUGGCCCUGAGGGACAGACACAGACACGAGGCGGGAUGGUCACUUCUUCGCCACCUGUUAAGCUCCUCUCUGCUGGAGUUAAUCCUGGAGAUUUAAGGGCACACUCAUGGCUCUAAUCCGCUUCCUUUCCUGGUGCAGAGGGAAGCGGACGGCUGGUUUGCACCUUUGGGUCACACCUCAGGGCACGAGUGGGUUGGACACUGGGCUUUUUCCAUCUGUAAGGUGGGUGGAUGCAGGCCAGACUGGAUGGCCUCUAAGAGCCAUUGGCUGGGAAUCGUGUCACCUCCAGGAACUACCGAGGACCAUCCUCUCUGGCUUGCACGAAUGCUUGGGCCAGACAUCCCAGCGCCCGCUUGCACACAUCAUUAACUCCCCAGUCAUAUUUCUCCUUUAGGCUCAGUUGAAACUGUUUACGCACACACCAGGCCCACUAUCCUGGCUCUGUCCAGUGGCACACAGAUUACAUGUGUUCCUACCUCCCAGUCUGCUCCCAGGGCAGCCCUACAGAGAGGGGAAGAUGGAAGCCUACUCUAUUCCCACCCCAGAGGCAGAUUUUAGCUCUCUGUUUGAUCUGGCCAACUUCUCCAAAGCCAACAUUCCAGAUAAGCGGGGCUCACCCAGAUUGGGCCCACAAGACUAUCCCCUCCUUUGUUCUGGAAACACUGCUUCUGAUGACGUGACCAAAGCUGACACUGACAUUAGCUUUCCAGGCAGCCACGUCCUCCUGUAGGCUCGGGGUGGGGUGGGAGUCAACUUGGCUUGGAGCUAAGAAUCCCUGACUCCAUGCUAGGCCCUCCAAAGUAGAGCAGACACACACACACACACACACACACACACACU